rnacentral:pre_miRNA from 1 species
CUGCCUGUGGUACUCAAACUGUGGGGGCAUUUUUUUGUUUUUGAAUAAAAAGUGCCGCCAGGUUUUGAGCGUUACCGGUUG